rnacentral:miRNA from 1 species
GUACACACACACACACACACACACAAGACUCUAUAAUUUUCUAGAAUGAUUGUAGAGUCGUGUGUGUAUGUGUGUGUGUGUGUGU